rnacentral:rRNA from 1 species
AGCGAGACCCACGCCCACAGUUGCCAGCGUACUCUCCGGAGUGACGGGUACGCUGUGGGGACCGCCGCUGCUAAAGCGGAGGAAGGAAUGGGCAACGGUAGGUCAGUAUGCCCCGAAUAUCCCGGGCUACACGCGAGCUACAAUGGUUGGUACAAUGGGUAUCUACCCCGAAAGGGGACGGAAAUCUCCUAAACCAAUCUUAGUUCGGAUUGAGGGCUGCAACUCGCCCUCAUGAAGCUGGAAUCCGUAGUAAUCGCGUUUCAACAGAACGCGGUGAAUACGUCCCUGCUCCUU